GAGUGAGUGGGUGUGCAAGCAAGCAUUAUGAGAGGGAUAAUAGGUAUCAUUUAUUUUAUUUUCUUUUAUUUUUCUUUUUCUGCUAGUGAUGGCAAAACUGUGGUGGUUCUUGUGGGCUUGUGAUUCAAGAGCCAAGUGGGUGGCCCAUUUCCUUAAGUUAGGUCAAAGCAAGCUAAGCUAAGCAAGCACGCAACUGCAGAAGGGAAUGAAGGUACUCACAACUACUCAUGGUGAGUUGCAGAAUUGGCCCCCUACUUCCAUUCACAAGCAAGUAGAGAGGACAACGAUGAACUAGAAUUAAAAACCAGGUAUACAUUUAUAUAUAUAUAUAUAUAUAUAUAUAUUUGAAGUUGUUUGCAUCUCUUGAAGUCUCUCACUCGGACUUAUAUCAAAGGGAUAUAAUUUGCCACUAGAAGAAUAAGAAAAUGAUGUUUUUUUAAAAAAAAAUAAAAAAAUAAAAUUCUGGGUAGAGGCAUCCAAUGAAAGCAAUGAGUCCUUUUCUUGUUAUGGGGGUUGCCACUUUUGGUUUAAAAAGAAAAAAGUGGCUUGAUUUUGUUGUUGUUGUUGCUAUUCUUUCUUUCUUUUGUUCUUUUGUUCUUUUGUUCUUUUUUUUUUUUUUUUUGAAGAAUGAGAUUCAUUGUUUGCAUGUAAUUGUGAAGACAUUCAUGGCAUGGAUAUUCAUUGACCUCUUAUUGGGCCAUGUGAAGCUUUUGCAAAUAUAAAUUUUCUUCUUCAUCAUCAUCCUCAUGUGAUGCCCAUUACUGGAUGUAAGCUCUAUCUUAUAGGCAAUAUUGACAUGUGACAUGUCCCUUUGUAGAAUUUGUAUAAUUCAGGGAUAAUUAAUGCAUUAGGGAUUGUUAAUUUCAAGGGUUUGAAUUUUAAAAAAGAGUUCACUUCAAUACAUUCCAAAAUUGAUAGGAAAUUUGUUAUUGAUUCUCUCUUCCAAAAAUUCAAAGUCUUAGAGUUGCAUUGCAAUUUUUGUUAAAUGUAUGAUUUCAUGUAUAAUAUAUUAUUACUAAGUUUAAUGGUUUAACCUAGGAAUUCCUCUCAAUGUUAAGGUUUUUAGAGGACUAACCCUAGAAUCUCUCAACUAUGAGAAGAUUGGGUUUGUGCACUUCACUAAUGUUAAAAUUGGGGCUUGACCUUUUAGAGUGAAGUGAUUCUUACAUGUUAAUACAUAUUUGCCAAUGAUAAUCAACUAUGAUGCUUACUCAUGGGAAGUUUUGGAAACUACCUCUUAAAAGGAGCACCCUCAAAAAGAAUGAAGAUUCCUUGUUCACUUGUGGAUGAAAAAGAAUCUCUAUUUAAAGCAAAAUACAAAUCUAACAAAUGGUCUUAAUACAAAGGGCUUCUGGCAUUCACAAUGGAACUCAACCAAGCAAAAACUAUUUUUAAAUGGUGUGGGCCAAUACAUGGAAUAUUUUGUAAGUAGUGCACUUUGGAAUGUCAAUUGAUACAAAGUUGCAUAUCCAGCAUGAAACUAUGUGUCCUACCAAUUUACAUGCCACAUCAAAAUGACUUAUCAAAAAUCAAAAAAAUAUUGAUUCAGAUACAUUAUUUCACAACUACAUGAUAUGUGUUUCCAACAUGUAACUUACAAAUCACAUACCCAAACUUUCCUCACACCAAAGCUUUAUUAUCAGAAUUCAUUCAAACACAACAAUCUAAAUAAAUAAAUAAAUAAAAACAUCAUUCAUACAUGGAUGAGAUAGUUGUAUCAAUUUAAGAUAUUUUACACAAUACCCAAAUGACCAACAUCACAUUUAACAAAAUAUAGACAGUGAUAUCAUAUUUCAGUGAAAAAUAUGAAACCCAUUAUUCAUUUUCUUUGCAAAUUAUAUAUAUAUAUAUAUAUAUAUAUAUAUAUUCACAUACACAUAUUUUUUUAUUAAAGAAAAUACAAAAAAACUUACAGAAUAUUUUUACAAAAUUAAGAAACAAAUCACCCAGGAAAGAGCUGUUGGUGAGCUCUCCUUGUCAUGCCCAGCUUCUUCUUUGUGCAAACCAAGGCAAGCAAAGGUUGCCAUCCCCCUCCCCUUGUAAGCAAAUUUUAGUGAUCUAAACUUAAAACUCACUCUCACUCUCUCUCACACACAUAUACAACUGUACUGGGCCUCCAGUUCUGCCUCCAAUCCCCAGGUCUCUCUAGCCCUCGAUUCUCUCAACUCCCAUUCAAGUUUGUUGGCUGUGUCAGACGCGAGGCACAGACAUAAAACAAAAGAAAACUAAACUAAAUUAAAUUAAAUUACUAAGUCAGAUGUUGCCAAAAACUGGCGUUUAAACUCAUGGGAAGUGAAAGUGUGCAUGUCUUUUUUACCAUGUGAGCUAAUUGAGGAGAAUAUGUCAAUCAAAACCUUUUGUUUUCAGAGGUCUAGAAUGAUUCAAAGCUCAGAGAGAGAGAGAGAGAGAGAGAGAGAGAGGUAGCUUAUUUUCAGAAGAGCAAACUAACACCCAAAAUUAUGUUGGAGGUUCAAAUUUCUAGCAAUGAAAUCACAACCAUGCCCGAUGGAAGCCAACAGUGUAUAAAAAAAUGUAUAAAAAAUUUGUAUAGUUGGAGAGAUGUAGAUUGUGGUAGAAGGGUAUGUGUAUGGGGAUGUGGGGGGUUGUUGUAUGUGAGGGUGUGUGAGACAGAUGCAUGGCUUUGUGGUAAAAACAAAGUCACAAGGCAGAGAGAAUGGCAGUGGCCACAAGGCAAACAAACAGGACUUCUCUCUGUCACCAGCAGCACAAACAAACACUAACUGCUCUCUUGUGUAUACACAUGAUGCAGAGGUUUAUUUUUAAAACAAUUUUGUCACUCCCACGAGAAGGCUACAAAGGGGUCAAUACUAGGAGCAACUCUUGACCAGUUUGAACAGGACGACUCCUCAUUACCUUUUCUACCAUGUGGACAUGGGGAGUAAAUAUAUAUACCCAAUAUAUAUACAUAUAGUACGAGUUCUUUUCUAUCUUAUUUUAACUUUUGGGCUCAAACUUUGCAGCCCAAUUUCUGGUACCUAAACACAUGAUUUUUCAUGGUAUUCUGGUGCCCUAGUCCCUGUUUUGAUGCCCUACCAUUGCACGUAAUAGCAGACUUGGCUUCUACAACACGUAAAGAUCUUUUGCGGUGAUUCUCUUUGGCUCCCUCUUCAUCUGUUUAAUACAAGAUCUUGCAGGCUUUUUAUUGUGUGAACUUGAAGUGGUUGUAUGGACAAUAUGUUCCCAUCCAUUUCAUCCUCGUGCCCUAAAGUUCAUCGGUGCUCGAACCUCACAUCCCAAUUUGUUGCACCUAAAGCAAUCUUCAUGGUUUGUUUGUAGUGUCCUAAUCUUUACUUUGAUGCCCUAAUAUUACAUCUAAUUGUAGUUUUGUCUUCAUUGUUGAGCAACAUUUUGUGGAGGUGAUUCUCUUUAGUUUCUUCAAGGUGGUAUACUUUGCCCCUCUUUCUUGUUGUUGUAGCCAUGUGGUAUCUAUUGGGUCUUGGUUUCUUUUUGGUUGAGGCCCUUCUUAUGACUUUUCUUCUAAUCCUCAUUGUUAUCAUCAUGUAUUAAAAUUUCUUUUGUCCUCUUGAAAUUAUUGCUUCGAUUGUAGAAUCUCUUUGUGAUGAUAAAUUUUUAUUUUUUAAACUUUGGAGACUUUAGUUACAUUGUUUUGCAUGUAGAAUGCUCAUUCUUUAACAAUUUAAUUCAUGUGUUUUAAUUUUUUUUACUCUAUUUGAAAUCUAUACAAUUUGAUUAGUUUUGAGUGAAUAGUAAGAUUAUAUAAUGUUGUAUACAUGUGUAUACAAAUAUAUAUAUAUAUAUAUAUAUAGUAUUCUGAAAAAUGUAAUGGAUAGACAUAAAAUUGCUUUUCAAGUUCAAAAUCCUCUUUCAAAUCCUAUUGAUUUCAAUGACUAAGGCUUUAUCAAAGAAUUAUUACAAGGUCAAGACACAUCUUUGUUGUGGCAAUCAUGGUUCAUUAAAUUUUGUAAAAGCACAUUAAUGAUUUCUUACUAGAACAAGAAAUAGAGAAUAUAUAUAUAUUAUAGAAAAUUUAAGUUAUACAUUUAAGAGUUUUUUUAAGUAAAAAUCAUCUAUAAAUAAAUUUAUUAUUUGUAAACUAGUUGUAAUUUCUAAUCUUAAAAUUAUGUGUUAUAUACUAUGUCAUUUAUAAAUACUAUUUUUUAAC
rnacentral:lncRNA from 1 species